UAGGGAAUCUUCCACAAUGGACGCAAGUCUGAUGGAGCAACGCCGCGUGAGUGAAGAAGGUUUUCGGACCGUAAAGCUCUGUUGUUGGUGAAGAAGGAUAGAGGUAGUAACUGGCCUUUAUUUGACGGUAAUCAACCAGAAAGUCACGGCUAACUACGUGCCAGCAGCCGCGGUAAUACGUAGGUGGCAAGCGUUGUCCGGAUUUAUUGGGCGUAAAGCGAGCGCAGGCGGAAUGAUAAGUCUGAUGUGAAAGCCCACGGCUCAACCGUGGAACUGCAUCGGAAACUGUCAUUCUUGAGUGCAGAAGAGGAGAGUGGAACUCCAUGUGCAGCGGUGGAAUGCGUAGAUAUAUGGAAGAACACCAGUGGCGAAGGCGGCUCUCUGGUCUGCAACUGACGCUGAGGCUCGAAAGCAUGGGUAGCGAACAGGAUUAGAUACCCUGGUAGUCCAUGCCGUAAACGAUGAGCGCUAGGUGUUGGGGACUUUUCCGGUUCUCAGUGCCGCAGCAAACGCGUUAAGCGCUCCGCCUGGGGAGUACGACCGCAAGGUUGAAAC
rnacentral:rRNA from 1 species